UUAAAUAGCUGAAAAUGGGAACUUCUGUUUUCCAUGUGCUGACACGGUCAUGCUCACAGGCUGCUGAAGAUUGCCUGAACAACACGGUGCCCAGAGGCUUACACACGUGUAAGCUAGCAUGCAAAGGGCAGCUCUCGAUGAAGAGGUUUUGCCAGUCUGAUCAGCUGGAUCUUAUAAUCACCACCAUGUCGUCAGAGAUCUGAGAGAUUUCCAUUGCCAUCCUCCCUGUACUUGUUACUUCUCAUUCUUGUAUUGCUCAUCCUUUAACAGCAGAGCUUCAGCUGUUCUUAAAAUUUCCAAGGUGGCAUAUAAAACGGAAAACUCUUGUCAAACAUAUGUUUACCACCACUGACUGAUGCUCUUGCAGGAGAUAAUGUCAUCUGAAGAGGAUCAAUUAGAAGCAUUACUCUUUCUUUCAUCAUAAAUCUCAGUGAAGCAGGAAAUAGUAUGAAACUUGAAAGAAAGAUAAACAAGUCUCAUUAGGAGGAGUGCGGUAUGAUGAAACAAUAGGGUACAGAAGGGUAGGUGACAUAUCAGGCCAACACUGAGCUGGAGAAGACUCAUCUAAUUGUUGCCAACUUCCCAGCCCAAAGGAGGGGUAAUUGAAAAGCUAAACAUAGGUCCUGAGGAACACCAUCACAAUGCUAAAAAUUUGGCUUUAGAGCGUUAAUGACACCGAUCCCUAAAAAUGAACUCAGAAGAAUCCCUGAACCGAUGAUCUCGAUAGCAGCUCAUAUUGUGGUUAUGUUCACCUCUCAUUGACUGCAUCUUUUUGUCCUCCUCAGAGACGUGACCCUUCUGAAAUCAGUGUGCCCAUCAAAAAGCAAAAGCGUAAUGAACAAUUUUUGAUUUCUAUAAAUGGUAAAACUCUUUGAUUUCAAAAGAAGUAGGACAGUGCUAUUUGCUUAAUUGGACUAAGUCCUGCCCACUGAAAUUCAUGUGAAAUUCUGUUUAGUGGUUUAGCCUGCUGGGUCUGAAGCUGGAAAGAGAUACUACUUUCCAUCUAGUGAAACAAGAGCGGUACUCAUAAUCUCUUUGAAGCAUCUGUGCUUGAGGCAGAGGCUAAGGUCUCAAAUUGAGGCAUUUUAACACACAGUGUCAAUGAUGUUGUGCCUAGCACUGUGUUGAGCCAAAUAAUUGCAUCACUGUGCCAUGUUUCUGCUUACCUAAUCCACUCUGAUGCAAGAGAAAGUACCUGGGAAUUGCUUGGCAUGUUUGAUAAGGGUAAGUGGCACAGCAGCCUUGACUGCAUUGCACAGAGCCAGGGCAGCUUUCUUUACCUGAAGAUCAGUAGCCCCAACUUCCUGUGGCCUUGCUACUUGGGUGCGUUCAUGCCUGCUCACCAUGAUCGCUUUCUUCCACUCUGUCCUAUAGAGACUACUACUACAGCUGCUGUGUCACUCCCACCACAACUGAGGGCUUCUAAUUCAUAAAAUCAUAAAAUCAUUACAGUUGGAAGAGAUCAAGUCCAACCAUCAACCCAUAACCACCACACCCACUAAACCGUGCUCCUCAGUGCCACAUCUCCACACAGGGAGAACAGGGACAGCGAUUCCACCACUUCCCUGGUUCCAGUGCUUGAACACUCUUUUGGAGAAGAAAUUUUUCCUAAUACCCAAACUGAACUUCUCCUGGUGCACCUUGAGGCCAAUACCUCUCAUGUUAUUACAGGUUACCAGAACUGUAUUAUCUUACUCCUGCUUCAUUAACUGCAUUUUUCAGGCUGCUCCAGUACCCUGUAGCCUAGAUCUCUUUCCUGCUCCUAUGCUCCAGAUUGAAGUAAUUACCCCAUAACCUGCUGUUUUAUCUAUGGCUCUUCUUUGCUGGCCUCUGCCCUUCUCAAUCCCAUGCAGAGGUUUGUCUUCUUAGCUGACAGCUGCAGCUCAGCCUGCUUGCAGCCCUUCUGGGAGGUAAGAAGGAUGCUAACAUUGGUGAGAGAAAGUGGCAGCCCCACAGGGAGUGUGCCUGGCACCUCACAGCCCAGUUUUCCAAGCAACUUGCUUCAAAGGAUAGGUUGCUCAGGGCUCAUACCUUGGGGUCUUGGCUAAGGUGUAUGAACUCCACUAGGCCUAGAACCUAUCAUGUUUCAUACCUGGCUCUAAAAGCUGCUUAUAUGUUGUUUUCUUAUUAUUUGUUUGGUUUUUAACUCUCCUGUUUGACAUAAAAAUAUGUAAACAGGUGACAGGACUUAACAGUUAAUUUAUCCACAGGUGAAUGAGGGAGGACUUUCCUGUCUUUUGGCAUUCUCUAAAGGUUUUGCUUUCCACAGAGAAAGAAUAGGGAUUUUCCUUGAAUCUGGAGAGAUUUAUAUUUAAGCCCCCUGAAGCAAUGAAAUUGAGCCCCAAACUUUCAUGGUUGGUAUUUGGAAUGGUAAGCUCUACAGAAGAGAUGCUGCUGGUAUUUCUUCCCUAGGAAGCAUCCUCAAGGGCUCCAUGGCACCACAGAACAACUCAGGAUGAAGGAGACCUUUGGACUUAGCACCUUGUCCAUCCUCUGGAUAACCCUUCACCAAAAUGCCAGAGGGAGGGAAUGGCUGCUGGCUGGAUGACAUUAGCAAACAGACCGUCCCUAAUCUGCUCUUCAGCGCAUGACCUACAUCUUGUUGUUAUCAUUCCUCUUUUCUUUGAGUGAAUAACUCUCAUUUCAUGAGGCUUUUCUAAGCAGAACCCAUACUUCAGUAUGCCUGACAGAAAAAGGAGCUGCUGACACUAACAAGGAAAAAAGGAAGGUGGUCAUUCCUGGAGAAGACGCCUCUCUCCUUAAUAGCCUGACACAGCGAGGUGGCUGCCCACAGAUUAGGAAACUGUUUCCAGAGCUCACCAUCGCCCAAAUGAGGUGGUUGCCACAACAGGUCAGUCCCAGCACCUCCAGCCCUGCUGACUGGGGACUGAGUCAGGCUCUCCUGGCCCUGGUCCUCUGUCCACUGUGCCUCAUAUUCAUGACAGUAAGCUUCACCUGCUCAUGGUAAGAUGACAUGAAACAUACCCUAGUUUCUCAUUUUAGGACAAUGUAAGAUAUGCCCUUUUCUCUUGGGUGGCCUUUGCCUGAAUUGUUCAGUUCAGCAUUUCUUGCCUUAGUCCUGAGCACCCUCUGAUCCUUGCUCCCUGACAAGUCUCUCCCACCACCUCUUUCCCAGUGACCAAGCUGAAGUCGUAGAAUCAUAGAAUCGUUUGAGCUGGAAGGGACCAUUAAAAGUCACCUUGUCCAACUUGUCUGCAGUGAACAGGGACACCUACAGCAGAUCAGAGUGAUCAGAGCUUCAUCCAGCCCGAUCUUGAAUGUCUCCGGGAAUGGGGCACAUAUACCAAGGCUUUCUAGGCAGCAAGGGCACAUUGCUAGCUCAUGUCCAGCUUGCUGUCAAGUCACAGGAAGGUUUCCUUCCAUUGGAAGCAUUAAUCUGCCUGCUGGGUAGCACGGGGAGAAGCUGCACAGAUACUGAGAAUAUCCAAUAAAAUCAGAAUGCCCGCAGACUGACUGCUGUAAUGGGGUCAAGUGCAAAGCCUGCUUCUUCACUGAAGUUGCCCCAUGAAAAUGCCCCAAAUUUCUUAGGUAGAAAUUUCUGUACUGAGAAGAUUAUUUAACUGGUUUUAGACUGGGUAUGAGGAAAAAGUUCUUUUACAAUAAGGGUAGUGAGGCACUGGCAGAGGUUGCCCAGAGAGGUGGUGGAUGCCCAUUCCUGAUGAUACUCAAGGUCAGGCUGGACAUGACUCUGAGCACCCUGGUCUGCUGAAGGUGUCCCUGUUUGUUGCAGGGAAAUUGCACUAGAUGAAGGUCCCUUCCAACUCAAACAGUUGUAAGAUUCUAUGGUUCUAUAAGUGAUAACUGUGCACACUGAUAUUUGCAUAUCCUAAAGAAAUGCAUCAUAGCAUUAAACUUCUUCUGUAUGGUGACAACAGUACUGGGAUUAAAAAAGCAAUCUACCAUAUUAAAAAUGGUGCAACCCACAUAAAUUAAAAACAGUAAAUCUUUCCACUGUGUAGACAAAGGGGGUAAUUUCCAUGUUCUCCAAGACUCCUACACAUUCAUGCCAGUGUUUUUAAUGGCACUCAGGCUUGGGAGAGAAACUUUUGUUACAAUUGGAUGAGUUGUCCCACUUUUGACCCUGGGAGGAGCCCAAAUACUGCAGGUGCUUGCAGGGCAUGGUGAGAAAAGGGAAGGCAGGAGAUAUUUGUUCUUUUGCAUAUUCAGCAGUGUCUUGGAAGGGGAAGAGCCUGGCACCACUAGAAAGAAAUUUACACUCUUUUGACUCUGCAAAUGCACAGAAAUUUAUGCAUGUGGAGCUAUAUAUUACUUAUUGUAUGAGAACUAGCUAACAGGAGCAAAGGUGAGGUUCCUCAGGCAUUUACCACAAAUUCAGAUGUAUGGUUAAUUUUUUUGCUACCUUUUCCUGGAAGAUAACAGCUCUUAACAGGCUGAAGGAUUUUAGGUAGCAGCUGCUGAAAUUAAUUGAAAUAUAUAGUUUUGUUAUGAAACCUGUGCUAGGCCGUAUCUGAAACAGUAGUGCUAAUUUGGCAACAGCUUAAGAACAGAGGUUUCCGGAAAAUGGAAUUCAGUCACGUAAGACAGUCUGAUAUUACAAAAGAGUGGGAGUCUAAGCACAGAUUUAAAUGAAAAGUUGACCUCAUUUUUAUUUAGAGGCAAAAUAGUCUCAUUUGGAAAAAGAAAAAUAAAUUUUAACAAUUUUUAAUAAUGAUAAAAUACUCAAAUUCUUAAUAUAUAGAAAAAGAUAAAAUUGGUAAGAAAUUGGAGCCCAGUGAGAUGAAAAGUAUCCAGCCUCUGCACCCAGCUGCUUCCAGAACACAGAAUUAUUUCAAUUAUUCUUCUGUCUCUUCUUUCUCUCCAAACCACGGCUUGUUACUCCACAGCAUAUAUAGAGAAUAUAUAUAUAUUCUGGAUACUUUUUAUAUAUGUAUGCUCUUGGAUGCAGCAUGCUCAAUCUCCACGCCCCCCCCCCCAAAAAACACAAAGCUAUACUGAAGUAGCAGUGCUGAGCAUUCUGAGGUCUCAUCUACAUUAGCAAUCCAUCAGCACACAGCAGUCGAUCUACAGAGCAUUCACUCUCUCUGUCUCAUGCUCUUUUUCCACAAACUGAAAAACCACAUUUGUGGCUGGAGCUGGAUGCAAUUCACAUUCUCUUAGGCCAAACUGAAGAAGAGGAUCUGGAAGGGUCACCAGCAAGCCUUCCUGAUCUGGAUUAAGAUGUUCAUGCAGAUGUGUCCUGAAUGUGAAGUUGACAUGCACUUAUAAAGAGUGCCAUCAGCUUGCAUCAUUAGCUGCUGAAUGGUAUUAAUGCUUAGGGACUCCUGACUACUGAGUUAAAAUAUCCAAGGCAUCCAAUUAAUUAUUAUUAUUAUUAUUAUUAUUAUUAUUGGAUCUUUGUUCAAAUACAGCCUAUGAGCUGUAUUCCCUAUUAUUUAUUUGUGUGGUGUAAUUCUCUGUAGAAACUAUUAAUGGAACAAAUGUUAUCUUGAAAUAAAUCACUGAACAGAAUAUGUGGGCUCUGAAAUGUAAAUGCACAAUAAUUAAUCGUAGUUCAGCCUCCUUCCUAAAGUCCUUGUUGCAUAGCACAGGACUCAGACUGCGUACUCAUGGUAAUUGCUGGUGCUUACCUCUAGCAGUGAACAUGGAAAAAGAUCCCCUUUUCUCAAGGCAUGUAAUAAAUGUUAAAUAAGAAUAGGGUCAAAUUUCCUGCUGAUUACUUCCUCUCAUUCAUUUACUGAACACGGGUGGGCCAACAUUCCACUUCUGUUUUCUCACUCAUUUACAGAUUGUGCCUGGUACUUACGGGCAUUUCAAAAAAGUCAUAAUGCAAAACGUAAAGGAUUGGAUUAAAAAACAAAUCAAUCAAACAAAAACAAAAUGAAACACCACACACACACCAAAAAAACCCCCGCAAAUUAUCGAUAGAUAGCCAGCAUCGUCAUUGUAAGAACAAGAAUGUUCAAUUUAUCAAAGUAGGAAUAAUUAAACUUCUGUCAGUUCACACAUUAUUUUGGUCAGAAUUCAAGAUUUAAUAAUUUUCUGACUUGAGCAUUGUGGCUUUUUUUAUUGUAUUAUAGAAUCAUAGAAUCAUCAAGAUUGGAAAAGACUUCCAAGAUCAUCCAAUCCAACUGUCUAACCACCACCCGUAUCUCCCUACCAUGUCCCUUAGUGAAACAUCUAAACAUUUCUUGAACACCUCCAGGAAUGGUGAUUCAACCAUUUUCCUGGGCAGCCUGUUCCAGCACCUGACCACUCUUUCGAAGAAAUUUUUCCCUAAUAUCCAACCUGAACUUCCUCUGGUGCAACUUGAAGUCAUUCCUUUUAUACUGCUAAUGCUCCUCUUUAAAAGACAAAACCCAAACCCCUCUGCUGUUACAAGUAGGCAAGCAUAGAAUAGAUGCCAAAGAAAUCAGCAGCAGAGCGGAUGACAAGCUGGAUGGCAUUCCCUGCUGCAGAGAGGAUCUGGAAACAUAAAAGAAUUCUUAAAAUCACAGGUCGAUGGCGAGCUGCGAGGACAUCAAUGGAUGCAGUACUUCAAAGUGCUGAGAGCAAGAACAGCCUUGAUCUGAAGAGUGUGAUUUUCUGAAUUUAAUAUGGGGCUUUUACAGUUUACAUCUGGCAUUCUUUUACUAGCGAGACUGGUAUGUCUCACUGUCAUCAAAGCAAACAGCUACAGACCUGAGGGAUGGAGGGAUGUUAGCCCACCAGGAUCUCAGCACACCUCCAUCAGUAAUGGCUGAACUCUGGGAAAGCUGGACACAAAGUCAGAAGUAAUGAAGCCAGCAAGCAGAGCUCUGGGGAUACCUGCUGCAAAUGUGAGAGUAUCACAAAGCAGAGGCACAGCGCAUCAGCACUCUUGGCUCACCAGCCCAUUGGAAAAACUCACACUACAGUGUAACCACAUUCAGAGAGAAAAGAAGAUUGAAAGAGAACCAAAUAUUUGAAAACAACCAUAUGGAUGGUGCCCCCACUGAUAAGCAGGAUUAGACAGUGGAAGAGCAUGCAGCGUUAACUGGUAAUCUGUGGGUGCUGGCAGCAAUUUCUUAGUGAGUUCAUUGUUCUGCACAGUUUUGCUGUUGCAGUUACUCCACUCAUUUUUUUGCCUUAUGCAGUUUUUUUGUUUGCCUGUUUUUUUAAGUCUGAGGUUUUGAAUCUGUUCUCAUCUUCUUUGUUUAAACAUAUCCUUCAUGCCUUCAGGUGUGUUUGUUGAUCCCUUGAACUGAAGCUAGAAAAAAAUUCUCCUGGAUUAGCAUCAUGUUGCAUCACCUUCAAAGAGGGUGGGAAAGCACAGCUCCUUCUCGUAGCCUUUUGUCCCUGGAUCCCUUCAAGUUUCUGCAGUAGCUCAGCAGGCUGAUUUCCUUCCCAUGGUCCUUCCAACAUAGGAGGUUUUUCUUCUCAUUAAUCUAAAGCAACUGUCAGUUUAGGAGAAAAAGCUUUGGUACUAUUUGAAUGGGCAAGAAGUUAAAGCUGAAUUCAUUGAAAUAGAUUCCUGUGAAGUAUAGAAUGUGCCAAGUGUCCUACUGCUGUUUGCAGAAACUUUUACUGUGUUUAACAGCAGAUAUAUGUCACAUGGAAAUUACUGCUUCAAUGGAAGCUGGAAUUAGAUUUUGCCUAAAUAUAUGUGAUGGCUUUUGAUUUGUGAUCUUGAGAAGCCAAAAUGUUGAGACGGUGUCCAAUUUAGACUAGAAAGCUCACAAACAUUACAACUAUUUUAUAUCAUCUUCAGAAAAUCUGGUCCUAGGAAGAAUUCAAAUGUUUCACAGGUCCUCUCUAGUUUUGCUUCUAGGCAAUCACGUGUUCAUCAGUGCUAUUGCUACAUAUUACUCUGCGACUCUUUUUGCUUUCUGGGGCCCAAGUAGUAGGUCUCAGGAGAUUGAUGUCCCAAAGCUGUCCUGGAGUCCACAGGGGACAAGUCAGUAGAAAUUGCUCACCUCUUGUUUGAGAAAGGGAACAGAAAGUGUCGUUAGGAAGGUGAUAGCAGCCUGCUUGGUUUUGUGCAGUGUUUGAAGAGCAGAAUUCAUCUCAGUCCCAGUCAGUCCCCUUCACAGAAAAUGGAGAGCGAGCCUGGGCUCAGUGGGGUCUAGGGCAUGAUUUCCUCCUAAGAGAGAUGUCUUGUACAGCUAGGUGACCCACACCUGCAGCGAGCCCAGUUCUUUCCUCUAACUGUAUAGAUAGCCUCCUUUAGGAGGCCUUUGGUACCUAUCUGCUCUGGGUUCCACACAUCAGGCCUAUUUCCUGCACACAGUGGGUGUUGAAGUGCGUUCAGCUAACGCCAUGCUUGGUGUCUUCAUGUCUUGGAACCUCACAGCUCCACUCCUCCCAGUCAGAGAUAGAUAUUUCAGCACCAUUUCUCUACAAGCAACCUUUAUUGAGUUUAAAUAGAGCACUGGGUCCCUUCCCUCUCUUUGCCCCACUCAGCCUGUCCCUGCUAUCCAAGCAGCCGUUCUGCAGUAAUUCCACAAGCCAUUUUAAAACAAACCAGCACUUAAUAUUCUGUUGAAUGAGAAAGGAAAAGCCCACAUGGUAUGGAUGACACAUCACAUGCCUCUUUGGACCAGUAUAUUCAGGAUUUCAUCUUGUUCACAUUGCACUGGGUAGCAGUGGGAACUGGGAAAGUGGGAAACCCAUGAUGUUUAAAGAAUCAACUGCUUAAAUCUGCUUCAUUUAUUCCAGUUAGGGUCCGCCCUCAGGCUUUGGAAUAUUCCCAAAUCAGCCUUGAAUAGGACAGCCUUUAAUCAGUUCCACAGAAAUCUAAUGAUGCAUAAUUGUAGGUUAUGGCUAGAUACUGGGGUGAGGACAAAUGGAGCAUUAUAAGGAAGCAGAUGUGAACAUGGCUUGGAUAUUUUGUCACUUCAGUGACAGAAGUGGAGACAAGCAUCAAUUGCACAGUUACUGUAUUGUUUUUUCAGACAAUGAUUAUAAUUACAGAGAUGAGCUUCUUGGAGGAUCAAGCACCACAAUUACGGGAUGUUUGUCAUUCGAGCGCUCUUCACAAAUAACUCACACACAAAUGUACGCAUCAGUUUCAAUGCUUGGAGCCCAUCCAAAGAUACAAAUGGCUGUAUCGCUUCAUAUUUUAAUUUUAUUACAGCAGAAUGCUCCUGUAUGUAAACUUGACUCUUUCUAGAGUUUUUGCUGCCUUUGACAGCACUGGUUCACUUAGCUCAUUAGAUGGCUUUCAGAUUUUUAGGAUGUGGUGUUUAAAUGCAUUAAUUCAUCCUCACUUUCUCAGGUACCUAUACUCACAUGCUAUUUUUCACUUUGCUGAAAAGACUGGAAUCAACUCCCACUGUGCCUUCUGUUUCCGGAGGCAGGUUAGCAACUUUAAUUCCUGACCAUGCGCAGAGGACAGCUCAAAAUAGAAAGAGGAAAAAAAAUUUAAAUAAUUUCUUCUGUCAUUUUUAUAUUACCUCUCUGCAAGAACUCUUUUUUUUUUUUCCAUAGCAGUCCUUUCCACUGAAAUUCAAAUCAGAACAUGCUAAUAUGAUUCCCAGUAGGAGUUUGCAAAUGUCAUAAGAAUUUGGUUAUUGUCUGAUUACAUAUAGUAAUCAGACAAAUACACGUACAUUCUUCUGCAAAUGUAGCUCCAAGUGCAUCUGAGUUUGCAGAUCUAAGUGACUGAGUUCCUACUAUAAACUAGCAGUGCAGUAACCUUAGGACAUCUUAGAAUAUGGCUCUGUAGUUAAUGGAUUAUGGAAUAAGAAGCAAGUAGGUUAUACAUUUACCAACCUCCUGGUCUGUAAUAAACCUGGCUGGACAUCUUAAUUCAUGCAGAGAAUGAUGUUUUGAGACUCAGGUAGGUUUUCAGAGUGUGACAGUAUCAUCUUGCAAGCAAGGGACAUUUAACAAAAAGCUAUUUCCCCACAGUUAUUCAUCUUCAGUUCAGCAUUGCCCAGCUUUAUCUCUCAGCUAUCUCUGAUGCUAAGCAUUACCUGGGAUUUUAGUCCAAGGAGGAGAAUGGAUAAGCACAUUUUUAUUGGGAAUAUUCUUACAGGAAAAGGAUGCAGAGGGAAAAAAACAAUAACUUUGCCUCUUCAUAGACGAUAUGUUAAGGUUUUGCAAGUUUGUCUUAAUUUUCAACCCUAUGUGGUCUUCAAUACAUCAUCUCAAGAGUGCUGCCAUCAUUUGAGAGAUCUUCAGGCUGUGAGUGAGAGUACAUGGACAGUGGUAGCAUAUGGGGAGGCAAGAAGGCCAUAGCAGCUCCAUCCUGCACUGCCCUGGCAACUGUUGUUUCCUUGAGUGGACCAGCCAUUAUUUGCUCUAAAUUCUAGGGAAAAUUAAUUUACUGUCAUUUCCUUUACAAACCUCAUCAUUGAAGAGAGGCCCCUCAAUCAGCUACACUGUAGAAGCGAGGUGAAUAGAAGCAGCUUUCUCAUGUUUGCUAAAGUACUGAAACAAGUACAAGGCUCCCAUGUGAAUGAAUUCAGCCACUGAAAAACACAGCUUUUCAUCGAUCCGUUUGAGUAUAUUUGCAUAUGAA